UCCAAGCAUGGUGGCACACACCUGUAGUCCCAGCUACUCAGGUGGCUGAGGCAGGAGGAUUGCUUCAGCCCAGGCAGGAGUACUGAGCUGUAGUGCAGUAUGCCUAUCUCAUGUCCACACUAAGUUAGGCAUCAAUAUGGUGACCUCUCAGUAGCAGAGGACUACCAACCAGGUUGUCUAAGGAGAGGUGAACUGGCCCAGGUCAGAAAUAGCAGGUCAAAACUCUAGGCUGAUCAAUAGUGGGACUGCACCUGUAAAUAGAUGCUGAACUCCAGCCUGGGAAACAUAGCAAGACCUUAUCU
ensembl:misc_RNA Metazoa_SRP Metazoan signal recognition particle RNA